CAGUUUUGACUCACUCUGUGUGCAAUAAUAGUGUUUAACAUGAUUUUUUUAAACGACUACCCCAUCUCUGUACCCCACAUACAAUUCUCUGUAAGGUCACGCAGUUGAGCAGUGAAUUUUAAGCACAGAUUCAAGCACAAAGAUCAGGGAGGUUUUCGAUUGGUUCACAAAGAAGGGCACCUAUUGGUAGAUGGGGGGGAUAACUGAGGAUGAAUCAUAAACAUGUUAGUUACUCUACAAUACUAACAUAAAUUACAGAGUGAAAAGGAAGCAUCCUGUUUGCAAUAAGGCACAAAAGUAAUACUAUAAAAAAAAUGGGUCAAAGAAAUGUACUUUUUGUCCUGAAUACAAAGCGUUAUGUUUGGGGCUAAUCCAACACGUUACUGAAUACCACACUUCAUAAUUUCAAGCAUGGUGGUGGCUGCAUCAUGUUAUGGGUAUCCUUGUCAUCGGCAAGGGAGUUUUUGGGGGGGGAUAAAAAGAAACAGAAUAGACAAACUCACCUUACAAUAGGACAAUUACCUAAAACACAAGGCCAAAUAUACACUGGAGUUGUUUACCAAGACGGCAUUGAAUGUUCCUGAGUGGCCUAGUUAGAGUUUUGACUUAAAUUGACUUGAAAAUCUAUGGCAAGACUUGUAAAUGGCUGUCUAACAAUGACCAACAAUCAACUUGACAGAGCUUGAAGAAUGUUAAAAGAAAUAAAUGGCAAAUAUUGUACAAUCUAGGUGUGCAAGGCUCUAAGAGACUUACCCAGAAAGACUCACAGCGAUAACCGCUACCAAAUGUGAUUCUAACCUGUAAUGACUCAGGGGGGUUUAAUACCCAUCUAACCAAUAUAUACAUUAUUAGUGUUUUAUUUUCCAUAAAAACAUUUUUUUCUUCCACUGACAUUAGUAUUUUGUGUAGACAGUUGACAAAAAAAUACAAUUAAAUCCAUUUUAAUUCCACUUUGUAACACAACAAAAUGUGGAAAAAGUCAAGGGGUGUGAAAACUUUCUGAAGGCCCUGUAUGCAUUAAUUAAAGCAGCAAUUUUAAAAUCAAAUGAUACAUUUGACUUUGUUUUUACCAAUCUAACUACAUAACGACAUAAUGGUAAUAAUGUUUUUUUAAAGGUAAAUCUCUUGAUAAACUGGGUAAAUUAAGAUGGCAUAGGCCUAUUCACAAUACAGGUGAAUGCAGUUAUUGAGUUGUUUUAGCUGAUCAGCGGAGUCUAUGGUGCUACAGAUGACAAACAAUCUGUUUGCCUUCCAUUUGGGGACUUAUAUUAGCCUACUGAUCAACACUUUUUUUUGUUGCAUAGAAGCAUCACUCUUGCGUGUCACACUUGUAUGGAAGGACAUCAUAUAGGCUCUGUUGUUAGUUUGAGAAUAAAAAUAUAUAUAUUCGAUGCAAAUGGGUCCAACAUAACAUCAUGAUUUGUGAUAAUUUAUGAAACAAGUAUUUUUUGUCAUUUUCUGUGAUUGGGAGAUGUUUUUUUUUUUUUUUGCUGUCAGGACUCAUCUCUAAUCAAUUUGGUUGCCAGGACAAAUUCGAAACAACUCAAUUGGGCAAGGAAGUGUUCAGGAAAGAUCAUCGCAGACCCAUUCCACCCUGGUCACCACCUCCUCCAAAAAUUUGCCUCUGGCAGGGCGGUUCAGGUCACUCAUGAUCAAAACCUCCCGCCACCUGAAAAGUAUCUUCCCCCGGCUGUGGCCCUCACCAACCGGCCUAUAUAGACUAAAGGACUAUGCACUUUAUGCUGAACACUGCAUCAAGCCAUCUGUGAACUGCACACAAAAUAACUGCCCUACACUGCAUUGCACUCUGUCCAUCUCGCUGCAUUUAGAUAUACUGUAUUCUUACUGAUAUUGUAAAUGUGUACAUCCACUGUAUAUCAACCGUAUACCCACGGUACAUUUGUAUAUCUGCUCAUUCUCUUAUAGCUCUAUGCUCACUCUACCUAGUAUGUAAUGCAUGUCAACUUUGUUUAAACUCAGCUGUCUGUAUGUCUCUAAAUGUUGUUUAUCAGUAGCAGCACCAUAUCACCAAGAACAAUUCUGAGUAUGUAUAAAUGUAUUGUACUUGGCUAAUAAAGGCGAUUAUGAUGACUCAAAUCUUCCAAUAGUUUAAGUGGGAACGGACACACACACACACGGUGAUCUACAGCGUUCUUGGUCCAUAAACAUGCAGGAAGAUUCUUACUAUGCUAAAGCUAUUGCCAACCUUUAUUUAGGCAUUUUAAAACACUUCUUUCCCUAUUACGACAAUCAUUUAAUCCGACUAUCAAUGUACGGGUACGACUGCGGCUGGUCAGAUCAGCACACCAGUAAAUAGCUAAUGUUACAGCGCAAAUCAGAUGGCUCGUUGCUGAAAAUGGUGCAUGUUCAAAAUGAUAACCAGCUAAUGUUAGCUAGCUACGUUGGCUAAAUAGCUCCUAUCGAAUAUCAUAGCACCAUGUUUAUCUAGCAGGCUAGCUAGCAUAGUAGUUCAUGUAGCUAGCAAGCUAACACCACAUAUGAAUGGGUUAGUUAUCGUAAUAUUUGGUGACAGGUCACAUAGCUUGCUUAUUGCAUGCAUGUCCGGUGCACGUCGACUCAAGCCUUAUUUGCAACAUUAGUUCGAUUUUGGUCACUGUGUCAAUUAAUCCGUUUCUCAAUACUGCACCUUGCUGUUGGAGAAUGAGCUAUCUUGCUGCUGAUUUUCCCAACUAGACAUUCCUCGGCAUUGUCCAGUGUCCGUGGCUCAGGCGGUGAGUGUUGGCUGGCGUAGCAGCAGUUUUGCUAUGUACAGUAGUCGAUAGACUAGAAAAGAUUAUCGGUCGUUCAUAUAGAUAUUCCACUAUACUCAGUGAUUGUGUCUUUGCUGACACCACCAGGUCUACAAAGAGAUGCUUCAGAACCAAUCGUUUGUGGGCUGUAUCAACCCCCAGUGCUCUGCUCAACACCACCAAAUCCAGGAGCUAUUCUUCCCCCAAAUAUUAUACGACUUCGGCAACUUGUGGUUUUCUGAAGGAAAUCUUGCUGGUUUGCCAUUGCUGCUUGACAACUACACCCCUCCUAUGGAGGGUCUGCCCAUGUUCAUCCUACAUUUGGCUACUGGGGUGUGAACUGUGAACUAUUCUUAUCCAUGACCAUGUCCUAUCAAUAUCUGAUCAAUAUGUAUCAAUAAGUUCUUCUAGACUAGAGUGACUAAUUGGAAGGUUUGUGUUAUGUUGCGUACUUGAACUGGGACAAUCACAAGGAUUGCUUCAGAGACUUCAGCAAGGAGUGCAUCCUGUUCUAUUCCAUCAGGAAACAGUAAGUCCUGGAGGUGGAGGUAGGAGAGGGUUGGUAUUUCACAUGCACCAUCUUGGGUUGUGUUCAUUCGGCACCAAACAGAAGAAAACGGACUGACAUGGAAGGACUACUGGACUUUGCCAAUAACAAACUAUCAUUUUUGUUUUCUUUUGCAUGCCUAAUAAAUACAACCCUGUUGAGUGAUUAGGAUGGGCCUUGCACUUGUCAAUCUAAGAUAAGUGGGCAGUUGAUGGCAUCUAGAUUACAUUUAGUAGGUACCAAGAAAGGAUUCAG
rnacentral:lncRNA from 1 species